rfam:Cavia porcellus supercont2_29 genomic scaffold, whole genome shotgun sequence.
GGGGAUAUAGUUCAGUGGCACAGUGUCUGCCUGGCAAGCGCAAGGUCCUGAGUUCAAUUCCCAGUGCCACCA